GAUGAACGCUGGCGGCGUGCCUAAUACAUGCAAGUCGAGCGAAUGACGAGGAGCUUGCUCCUCUGAUUUAGCGGCGGACGGGUGAGUAACACGCGGGUAACCUGCCUGUAAGACGGGGAUAACUCCGGGAAACCGGAGCUAAUACCGGAUGAUAACGAGAAGCGCCUGCUUCUUUUUUGAAAGUAGGUUUCGGCUGACGCUUACAGACGUGCCCACGGCGCAUUAGAUAGUUGGUGGGGUAACGGCUCACCAAGGCGACGAUGCGUAGCCGACCUGAGAGGGUGAUCGGCAACACUGGGACUGAGACACGGCCCAGACUCCUACGGGAGGCAGCAGUAGGGAAUCUUCGGCAAUGGACGAAAGUCUGACCGAGCAACGCCGCGUGAGCGAUGAAGGCCUUCGGGUCGUAAAGCUCUGUUGUCAGAGAAGAACAAGUACCGGAGUAACUGCCGGUACCUUGACGGUACCUGACCAGAAAGCCACGGCUAACUACGUGCCAGCAGCCGCGGUAAGAC
rnacentral:rRNA from 1 species